CGGAAGCCGCGCGGGGCCUGAAGCGCCAGUGCGCACCCGGAACCGGAAACAGAAGUGGCUUGACGGGCCACACUGCUAGUCCUAUGGCGCCCGAGAGGGGUUCGGAGCCAGGUUGUUCGGUGCAUGAGAGCACCGAGAAGCUCUUGGACACCCUACUGCAGACUCUCUACGACGUGGGAGAGAAAGAAGGUGAAACAGGACAGAAGAAAAUCAGAAAGAAGAGAGAAAAUAGGAAGACAGAAGGGGUUGCAGUAGCUGUGGCAGAGGACAAAACUCCACAUGGUUCUUUCACAAAAAAACAGAAGAAAAGUGUUUCCAGCUUUUUCAGGGAACUCAGAGAAGAGUUGAACCAUGCCUCUGUGAUCACCUCACACAAUCCACCUUCAGGAGCAAAAGUUCCUACUGCUGCAGGAUCACCUUCUCCCCUGCAAAACCACAAGGAGCAAGUGGAAGUGGUAGAAUUUCACAGCAGAAAUAAAAAAAGAAAACCAAAGCCAGAUCAAGAUGAGUGCAUAAAGACUAAAACCAGUGUCCAUGAGAAAGAUGCAGAUAUUCAAGAAUUUAAUCUAGAAAAGGCUCGGUUGGAAGUGCACCGAUUUGGGAUCACGGGCUACGGGAAAGGAAAGGAAAGAGUCCUGGAACGGGAACGUGCCAUCAUGCUCGGUGCCAAGCCUCCCAAAAAUAGUUACGUAAAUUACAAAGUUUUACAGAACCAGCUCAAAGAAAAAAAGGCAGCACAGGAAGAAGAGAAGAGAGUGGCCCGGGAUGCAGAUAUUUUCAAGAAGAGGAGGAGAGGACAGGAAGAUAGUCUCCCACUGUCAAGGACCAGACGUGUUGGGUGACUGGUGGAGAAGCUGAGUGUGAUGUCGUUGGUGUACCACACCAUCUUUGCCUUUCAUGGAGGGCUGAGUGCCAUGAGAUUCAGGAAGGAGCACUGACCACUGCCUCAUGCCUGUUUCUUAGCUUCCAUUCAGGAAAUCCAAGAAGAAGAGGACGGCUCCUAGUAUUUUGUCAAGCGGAAGAGUUGGGCAGGUUGGAAAAUUCAAAAAUGGGACAUUGAUCCUGAGCCCAUUUGAUAUCAAGAAAAUAAACUCUUCCAGAGUACCUAAAUGAAGGACUUCAUCAGAUAAAGAGAACAAAUGACCAUCCAACCUUGGACCUGACCAGACUUCCAGACAGCUCAUGUGCCACGUGCUGCCUCUUCACUUGAGGAAGGCAGAGCCUUUAUGGGUUCCGCCGUAUCUGUGUGGAGCUACACCACGGGCCGAGGGAGCAGGCCUCACUUCCGUUCCUGUGCAUUGGUGCUGGGCCACUCUGCUUGCGACACCAUUUUUUAUCUUACUGUCUUAUAAAUGCUAGUAAUUAAUAUUAAGUUGCCUUUUAAUAUUUUUAAUGACAGUGUUACUGGAUCAUGAAAUAAACACAGCUUUUAUAGUACACAAGAUUGCUCUAACACUGAAGCACAUCCCCAGUCUUUUUUUUUUUUUUUUUUAAGUUGAGGUAGUCUCUGCUAAAUUGCGCAGGGUGGCUUUGGGCCUAUAAUCCUUUUGCUCCAGCCUUCUGAGUAAUUGAGAUUACCAGCAUGUACCACAGUGCCUACUUUGACUGUUUUAUUGCCAUAAGUAUCAGAUCCCAGCCUAGCAAACAAAUUUUGUCAAAAAAACCCCAAAGAGCUGUACAUGAUAGACUGUGUUACGUUACUUUGAGUUGACUCUGAAAGCAUUGCCAAAUAAGAAACACAAAAUUGAAUAAUGCCAGCAGAAUUGGAAUGAGAAUCCAGGCUUACUAUGAAAGGCAGUGUUCACUAGAGAAUAUAUUUGGCAUUUUAUAAGAAUGUUUUUUAAAUGUAUUAGCUGUGGUGUGGUACUAUAUGUAAUCACAGCACUCAGGAGGCUGAGACAGGAGAAUCUAUGAAUUCAAGGCCAGCAUGGGCAACAUAGCAGGUUUAAAUAUAGUUGCUAUCUCAAAAUAUUAGAAGAUCUUAAACAUGACAGAAAAUGCUAGGAAAAAAAAAAAAAUCUUAGGAACUAGAAGGUCCCUUCUAGUUCUUCCAAAGUGCACUGGACUGACAUUCUAGUCCAGUGUGGCCAAGUACUCAGUUGUCCAAACCGUCAAAGCUCAUUGGAGAGGGAUAGGGCAGGGCUAGGCAAGGUGGGGUCCCUUUCAACCCCAGUCUCUGCUGGCAAGACGAAGGUCAGUCAUCUAGUAUCCAGUGCACUUUGGAAGAACCAUGCAAAUUUGAGUUCAGAACCACUGAACUUCUUUUUGUUUCUUGUGUUUUGUUUCUACUUUUUAUUAUGUAAAUAUUUAAAAAGCAGUCUUGGGAAAACUGGGUGCUCCAGAAACCCUUAGAGGCUUAAAGACAAAAAUAAUAAACACAACUAAGAACUAAA